AUGAUGGACAUGAUAUAAUGAAACAACAUUGUGGAGAGGAAAGCAUUAGGGGAGCCCACGGCUACAAAACAAGUGAGAAGAGGUGGGAGAAAGAGAAACUACGCCACCUCCUCUGCAGCCGAGCGCACGCAGCAGCCUGGUGUGACAAGUGGGCGACGCCGGGGGCAGGGAGUGGGGGUCCUCCGCCCGCUCCGGGGACCUUGUCGCCCACCGUGCGCAGAGCAACUUUUAACCGGCAGCCCCGCACCUGUCUCAGAGAGUCCCCAUCGCUCCCCACCAACCACCAUGGGAAAAUUCUAGAAGAAUACGCUCUCAGAAUCUACGUGCGCAUCAUUUUCCUCCUCGCUCCAGAGGAAGGAACCAGAAAAGAGGGCAAAGCGGUGUAGUGUUCAGCCUCAAGGCUGCACAGAUACCUGACUGGGCGCUCAGGAAGACUCAGGCAGAGAUGGGGAGUCGGCCUGCAAGCUGGGAUGCUAGAGCUCAUAUGCAGUUCUCCAUUUAGCUAGGAGGUUUCCAGGGCAACCACUGAAGCAGUAAUUAAAGAUCAAGAGCUAAAAGAGAGAAAAAUGGCAGCAACCUGGUCUCUUUUCACAGAACACAAUAAGCCACCAAAGAGGUGUGGCGACCUCCACGGAAAUCAUGAAG
rnacentral:lncRNA from 1 species